GGGGAUAUAGCUCAGUAGCACAGUGUCUGCCUGGCAAGCACAAGGUCCUGAGUUUGAUUCCCAGAACCCCUU
rfam:Cavia porcellus supercont2_21 genomic scaffold, whole genome shotgun sequence.